rnacentral:rRNA from 1 species
AACGAACGCUGGCGGCAUGCCUAACACAUGCAAGUCGAACGAGAGCUCCGUGUCUGCUUGCGCUCACGUGCGGCGAGUGGCGGAAGCUUCCCUUAUGCUCCGGAUUCCUCUCUUUCGGGGGUGCUAACAUCGGGUAACUUCCUCUGAUCCCAGAUUCGACGUGCUGGGAUGGGCCCGCGUUGGAUUAGCUAGUUGGUAGGGUAAAAGCCUACCACGGCGACGAUCCAUAGCUGGUCUGAGAGGAAGAUCAGCCACACUGGGACUGAGACACGGCCCAGACUCCUACGGGAGGCAGCAGUGGGGAAUAUUGGACAAUGGGCGAAAGCCUGAUCCAGCAAUGCCGCGUGAGUGAUGAAGGCCUUAGGGUUGUAAAGCUCUUUUACCCGGGAUGAUAAUGACAGUACCGGGAGAAUAAGCUCCGGCUAACUCCGUG